GCUUAGAAGCAGCCACUCAUUAAAAGAGUGCGUAAUAGCUCACUGGUCGAGUGACUCUGCGCCGAAAAUUUAACGGGGCUAAACUAUACACCGAAGCUUGGGAUACAUCUAAUGUAUGGUAGGAGAGCGUUCUGUAUGGGGCGAAGUCGUAGCGAAAGCGGCGGUGGACUAUACAGAAGUGAGAAUGCCGGAAUAAGUAGCGAGAAUUAAGUGAGAAUCUUAAUGGCCGAAAGUCUAAGGUUUUUGGAGGAAGGUUCGUCCGCUCCAAGUAAGUCGGGAGCUAAGGUCAGGCCGAAAGGCGUAGCCGAUGCACAUACGGUUGAUAUUCCGUAACCAUCUGUAAUUUAAGCAAAGGGACACUUCAAAAGGGUGUGACCCGGGCGUUGGUUGACCCGGGCGUAAGGGACCGAAAUUAGAGUAGGGAAGCACACUUAGCUGAAGGCGAGAAAAGCUUUGCGUAUAGAAGCAGAUGCCCGUACCGCAAACCGACACAGGUGGACAGGAAGAGAAUUCUAAGGCCAGCGGGAGAAGGGUAGUUAAGGAACUCGGCAAAUUGACUCCGUAACUUCGGAAUAAGGAGUGCUCGAAAGAGCCGCAGAGAAUAGGCCCAGGCGACUGUUUAGCAAAAACACAGGUCUCUGCCAAAUCGAAAGAUGAAGUAUAGGGGCUGACACCUGCCCGGUGCCGGAAGGUUAAGAGGAGGAGUGAGAGCUCCGAAUUGAAGCCCCGGUAAACGGCGGCCGUAACUAUAACGGUCCUAAGGUAGCGAAAUUCCUUGUCGGGUAAGUUCCGACCCGCACGAAUGGUGUAACGAUCUGGGCACUGUCUCAACUACCCACCCGGCGAAAUUGUAGUACCGGUGAAGAUGCCGGUUACCUGCGGCAAGACGGAAAGACCCCAUGGAGCUUUACUGUAGCCUGAUAUUGGGUUUCGGAAAUCUAUGUACAGGAUAGGCGGGAGACUGGGAAACAUGAGCGUCAGCUUGUGUGGAGUCGAUGUUGGGAUACCGCCCUUAGGUUUCUGGAAUUCUAACCUGCGGCCGUGAAUCCGGUCGGGGGACAUUGUCAGGUGGGCAGUUUGACUGGGGCGGUCGCCUCCGAAAAGGUAACGGAGGCGCUCAAAGGUUAGCUCAGCACGGACGGAAACCGUGCCUCUGAGUGUAAACGCAAAAGCUAGCCUAACUGCGAGGGUGACGGCCCGAGCAGUAACGAAAGUUGGAGUUAGUGAUCCGGCGGUAUGUGAAUGGAAAUGCCGUCGCUCAACGGAUAAAAGCUACCCUGGGGAUAACAGGCUGAUCUCCCCCAAGAGUCCACAUCGACGGGGAGGUUUGGCACCUCGAUGUCGGCUCAUC
rnacentral:rRNA from 1 species